rnacentral:piRNA from 1 species
CUGUUUUAGGUGACUUGGUCCU